UAGCCAAAGGCCUCAGAUCUUAGACAAGACCUUUCCUGGAUGAAGUCCUAAUCAGACUCAGAUUAGAGCUAAUAUCUAAUUGCUCUUGAAAAUACUGGGAAGCAGUGGCCAAGAAGACACUGGGAAUCCAACACUGCAUCUCAUGGUCCUUCUGGCUUCACCAACAUCAUCAUCUUUAUAUAUACAAAUAAGAUGGUUGUAUAAAAGGUCAUAAAAUGGUCAGGUAUCUUUGUCAGAGAUCAGAAGAAUUUACAGUGUAGCAGAGAAAGGACACCGUAAAGGAAAUGAGUCAAAUUAAUGUCACAAAAGGAAAGGGGAGAAGAGGAAGCAGGGCCUGGAGCAGGAAUGAAAGGGGGGAAAUGAAGAGA